UACAGAGGUCCCGAGCGUUGUUCGGAUUCACUGGGCGUAAAGGGUGCGUAGGUGGCAUGGUAAGUUUGAUGUGAAAGCUCAGGGCUCAACCCUGAAAUGGCAUUGAAUACUACUGUGCUGGAGGUUUGGAGGGGGGACUGGAAUUCUUGGUGUAGCAGUGAAAUGCGUAGAUAUCAAGAGGAACACCAGUGGCGAAGGCGAGUCCCUGGACAACACCUGACACUGAGGCACGAAAGCCGGGGGAGCAAACAGGAUUAGAAACCCUCGUAGUCC
rnacentral:rRNA from 1 species